ensembl:lncRNA
GUAAUCUCCUAUUGAGAUUAUUGUCAGAAAUACUGUCGCACUUCAUGUUUUUACAGCUCUAAGUACAAUUAGCUUUCAAUCUUGAGUAGUACCAAAGAACAAUCUUUGGACAACUGUUGCCUUCUGCAACUGUGAUGUUAACCUCCUGUGUUAGCCCUAGCGCACACUGAUCAAUUACCUGGUCAGGGCCAAAUGACUGCAAACGUACACCAAUAUGAUGAGCAGUAAAAUGGCGUUUUAUUCACUACCAUGCACAGCUUAUAUACUUUUACUUAAACAAUCGUACCAUCGUGUCUUACUCUGAUUUGUUCGCACUGGAUAUUAACCCUUUUCCUUAUUGGCUCCUACUGUCUCCUCAUUCCUUUGCGUUCUUAUCUUGUUUACUUGACAGCAAGGACCGUUUGUCUGAACACAAUAGCACCCUCUCACUGUGCUUAGGGAGAAGCCUGUCCCGUACAUCACGUAUCCCUGUCAUACGCCUACUACAGCAGGCAACACAGAACAUAUAUACUGCACAUAAGGUCAGACCAGUUAUUCUUGGGUUUCUCCACUCUCUGACCUGGCAGUCUUGGCUGGGGAGCAGACUAAACCCCCCAUGAUUCAGGAGGACACAGUAAGUAACCUGCUACUCCAAGUGGACUGCCACAAGUCCAUGGGGCCAGAUGAGAUUCACCCGAGAGUGCUGAGGGAACUGGUAGAGGUGAUAGCUGAGCCGCUUUCCAUCAUCUAUCAGUGCUCCUUGUUGACAGGUGAGGUCCCAGAAGACUGGAGGCUUGCUACAAGAAGGGCUACAGGGAGGAUCCGGGGAACUACAGGCCUGUUAGCCUGACCUCGGUGCCGGGGAAGAUUAUGGAGCAGAUUGUCUUGAGGGAGAUCAUGCGGCACGUGCGGGACAACCAGGGGAUCAGGCCUAGCCAACGUGGGUUCACAAAGGGCAGGUCCUGCUUGACCAACCUGAUCUCCUUCUAUGAUCUAGUGACCCAUUUGGUGGAUGAGGGAAAGGCUGUUGAUACAGUCUACCUAGACUUUAGCAAAGCCUUUGACACUGUCUCCCACAGUAUUCUCCUGCACAAGCUGGCAGCCCGUGGCUUGGACAGAUACACUCUUGGCUGGGUAAGGAACUGGCUUAAGGGCUGGGCCCAGAGAGUGGUGGUGAAUGGAGUUAAAUCCAGCUGGUGACCAGUCACAAGUGGUGUUCCCCAGGGGUCGGUGCUGGGGCCUGUCCUGUUUAAUAUUUUUAUUGAUGUCCUGGAUGAGGGUGUUGAGUGCACCCUCAGUAAGUCUGCAGAUGACACCAAGUUGGCUGGAAGUGUCGAUCCGCCUGAGCGUAGCGAGGCCCUACAGAGGGAUCUGGAUAGGCUGGAUAGCUGGGCUGAAGCCAAUGGGAUGAGAUUCAACAAGACCAAAUGCCGGGUCCUGCACUUUGGCCACAACAACCCCAGGCAACGCUACAGGCUUAGGGCAGAGUGGCUGGAAGACUGUGCAGAGGAAAUGGACCUGGGGGUGUUGAUUGACGCUAGACUGAACAUGAGCCAGCAGUGUGCCCAGGUGGCCAAGAAGGCCAAUGGCAUCCUGGCUUGUAUCAGAAAUAGUGUGGCCAGCAGGAACAGGGAAGUAAUCCUCCCCCUGUACUCAGCACUGGUGAGGCCCCAC